UUUUUUGUUGCGCGUAUUUUUCGCAUAAACUAAAUUAAGAGUAGUAAAAUGUCGUUCAAAUUGUGUCGAUCAAAAAAUAUCUAAUGAUAUUUUCAUUUUUGUUAAUUCGUGUAUUUUGGAUAACGUUACUCAAAUUUUUAUCGCUGAACACGUUCACCAUUUUCUGCAGAUAAAUGAUUUUUGGACUUGGGGAUUUAAAUAUGUUCAAGAAUCUUUGUAGGCAAUCAUAUGCACAGUGCAUAAGGAGCAAGCAUUCACUCGGUGUGCGGAGCCAAGUGGAAUAUUUAUCACAGCAUAUCAAGGUUUCUACCCAUCUUAGCCCUCCCAUUUGAGUUGAUGACAUUCGAGUUUCCAAUUUGAACAGAUUCACUACCAAAAAAAGUAAAACACAAGGCAUUAAGAUGCAAGCAAACUACAAGUCUAGAUUGCAGGAUAUCAAAACACGAAAAUAAUAUAUAUUUUGAAUAUACCAAUGAUAUAUUUUAUUUAACCGCAAAAUCUCCGAAUUAAUACUGGACGGUACCGCACCCUCUAAAUUUUCGCAAAAAAGGGGCGUGGAUGGCGUCCUCCGGAUAAAAAAAAUAAUAAAUAAGUGAAUCUGUUUUUGGGCUAAAUCAAUGUCACUACAUAAUCCAUAACUCCGCGCAGAUAAUUAGUCAAACUGUAAACAACUUUCCUGAACUUUGACGUCACCGUUCCCGUCCUGUGAUACCCCCACCUUCACAAGCUUUUCCUAGUGUGGUGGGAGAGGACCUUGCGGGGAGAGGUGUGAUGAGGGAGCGUUCUCAAUAUAAGUGUUACUAAGUGCUACAAAAUACAAUUGAUACAAAUGCCGAUUGAAAGUGAAAUGACAGUUGAACUUUGUAUUAUACAAACAG